GCAAAACUUCUCUUCUGUACAUCCAUAAUCAUCUGUCCUUUAAGGGCAUGUUUAUGUUUGCACAUAUUUCCUCUUCGAUUGUGCCGAAGGAGACUGAACUCAUGAGAACGCUGUCGGCCAAGUGUCCUCAUAUCCUGCACUGGCCGCAUCGGCGUAGAGAGGCACCUAUUAGCGUCCUACCUUCCUCACGCCAGCUUUAAGGACACUGUCUGCUGCAGAGUUCACAACACAGAUGACCACAAGCAAUAUCAAGUGGAGUGCUUGGAGGCGUUUCCGCUCCCAAACUCCACAUGAGCUCAGCU
ensembl:lncRNA